UGUCGUAUGCGUGAUGACACGU
rnacentral:miRNA from 14 species